AUUCUGCAGAAAACGGUUCAACCCAUAGUUUCUGCACCUCCUUGAUAAAUUAAUGCCUUUCAGAAGGACUUGGGCUGAAAUAGAUAUUUUUUCAGCUCUUGAACAUGAAGGUUCUCUGCUUCAUGGUCUGCUAAGAUGUAAUAAUUCACACUGGCAAAUUAUUUGCAAUAAUCAAGAAGAGUUACAUUUCCUAAGGUAUACUUCGCUUAUAAGAAGAGACUUGAUAAAAUAUCCUAGAAAGAGUCGAAAAAGUAAAUCAAAUCCUCUGGAACCGGAGCUAGAGAUGAUUGUGAUCAGCCAUUUUGGUUGCUGAAAAAUGAACUCAGAUAUUUGGUGAAAUCAAGUGUUCUUAACCAGUAAGCAAUCUCUUCAAUUCCAUAACAUCCUUACUAAGCCUAAAUAUCCAGGAACAGAAAGGAGUCCCAGCUGAACCCCAAUAAAUUAGCUAGCACAUGUGUUAUUUUCAA